rfam:Salmo salar isolate Sally breed double haploid chromosome ssa07, whole genome shotgun sequence.
UGGCUCAGUUGGUAGAGCGUGGUGUUUGCAACGCCAGGGUUGUGGGUUCGAUUCCCAC